GAAUUUUAUAUAUUUUUAUUUAAUAAAAUUUAUAUUGAAAUAGAUAAAAAAAUAUUUUAUUGGGAGGAUAGUUAAAUAUUAAAAACUUUAAUUAAAAUUUAAAUAUAAAUUAAUAAAUUUAAGAAUGGUUAAAUAAAUUAAUUAAGAAUUAAUUACCUUAGGGAUAACAGCGUAAUAUUUUUGGAGAGUUCAUAUUGAUAAAAAUGUUUGC
rnacentral:rRNA from 1 species